CCCCUGUUAGCUCAGUUGGUAGAGCGCUCCACUUGUAAUGGAGAGGUCCCGGGUUCGAUACCCGGACCAGGCG
rnacentral:tRNA from 2 species